GACGAACGCUGGCGGCGUGCUUAACACAUGCAAGUCGAACGGUGAAGCGCCUUCCUUUUUGGUGGGUGUGGAUGAGUGGCGAACGGGUGAGUAACACGUGAGUAACCUGCCCCCUUCUUCUGGAUAACCGCAUGAAAGUGUGGCUAAUACGGGAUAUUCUGGGUCUGUCGCAUGAUGGGUCUGGGAAAGAUAUUGUUUCGGUGGGGGAUGGGCUCGCGGCCUAUCAGCUUGUUGGUGGGGUGAUGGCCUACCAAGGCGGUGACGGGUAGCCGGCCUGAGAGGGUGGACGGUCACACUGGGAAGGAGACACGGCCCAGACUCCUACGGGAGGCAGCAGUGGGGAAUAUUGCACAAUGGGCGCAAGCCUGAUGCAGCGACGCCGCGUGAGGGAUGGAGGCCUUCGGGUUGUGAACCUCUUUCGCCAGUGAAGCAGGCCUGCCUCGUUUGUGGGUGGGUUGACGGUAGCUGGAGAAGAAGCGCCGGCUAACUACGUG
rnacentral:rRNA from 1 species